AAAGAGGAGCAAUCCUCGAGUAGAGCGGCGAAAGGGUGAGUAAUACGUUCCUACGUGCCUUGAGGUCAGGGAUAGCCAGGGGAAACUCUGGGUAAUACCUGAUGUGGUCUCCGGAUCAAAGGCUUGCCGCCUCAAGAGCGGGGAACGUCCUAUCAGGUAGUUGGUGAGGUAACGGCUCACCAAGCCUUUGACGGGUAGCGGGUGUGAGAGCAUGGCCCGCCACAUCGGAACUGAGACACUGUCCGGACUCCUACGGGAGGCUGCAGUAACGAAUCUUCCGCAAUGCGCGCAAGCGUGACGGAGCAAUGCCGCGUGCAGGAUGAAGCCCUUCGGGGUGUGAACUGCUGUCAGGUUUUAGGAACACAAUGACCAAAGCCAAAGGAAGAGACGACUAACUCUGUGCCAGCAGUCGCGGUAAUACAGAGGUCUCGAGCGUUAGUCGGAGUCACUGGGCUUAAAGCGUACGUAGGCGGAUAUGCAGGCGUCGUGUGAAAUCCCUUGGCUCAACCAAGGAACUGCACGGCGAACCGCAUGUCUUGAGAUCGGUAGGGGCGGUCGGAACGAUAGGUGGAGUGGUGAAAUGCGUUGAUAUCUAUCGGAACGCCGAAGGUGAAAGCAGGCCGCUGGGCCGAUUCUGACGCUGAGGUACGAAAGCGUGGGGAGCGAACGGGAUUAGAUACCCCGGUAGUCCACGCCGUAAACGAUGUGCACUAGAUCGAGGAGGUUCUGACACCAUUCUCGGUCGAAGUCAAAACGCUGAGUGCACCGCCGGGGAGUACGGUCGCAAGGCU
rnacentral:rRNA from 1 species